rnacentral:rRNA from 1 species
AUUAGUAUAAAAGAAGACAAAAGGAGACUAGGGGCCCAGUUUGUUAAUCUAAACAAAGCUUAGAUUAAAUAAAAUUUAGAGAGAUUUUGAUUUGGUUUAAGAAAGCUUAAAGAAAGAUUCUAAAUUUGGAAAGGGAAACAUCCGGCAUUAAGAAAUAUUAAUUGGCGGGCAAAGGUCGUAGUGGAGAGCGAGGGCUUUGUAUUUAAGUUUAAUAAGAUAAUGAGGGGGAAAGCCGCCGCUUGAUUAUUCUUAUAUAAACAAUAGUGGGGGCCACCGAUAGAGAAGAGUACUGUGAAGGAAAGUUAAAUAUUUUGUCUUUAAAGCAGAUAUUGUUAUCGUACCUUUUGUAUAAGGGGUUUGUAAGAAGUUUUUAGCGAGGCGGGGGCCGUAAUGAGGGUGAGUCUUCUGUAGUUAAAAAUCCCGAAACUAAGUGAUCUAAUUAUGGGCAGCCUGAAGUUAUAUGGGAGUAUAAUGGAGGGGCGAACUGGUAACUGUGGCAAAAGUUUCAGAUGAUCUAUAGUUGGUGGUGAGAGACCAAUCGAACUUAGAAAUAGCUGGUUUUCUACGAAAUUCAUUUUAGUAAAGUGAAAAUUUAAAUAAAUCUUAUUUAUGGAGAGUAUAUUUUAGAUUUUCAAUGAGAGUGGGGGCGUAAAGUUGUCGCUCGAGAGGGGAAAAGCCCGGAUAUUAGCUAAAGGCGUGAAAAAAAAUUUUAAGUGCAAAAGGGGGAUUAAUUUAGAUAAAAAGAAAGUGGGCUUGGAAGUAGCCAUCUUAUAAAGAGUGUGUAAUUACAUAAUUUUCAAGUUAUGGCCCUUGAAAAUGUGGGCGACUUAAAAAAGUAUUAAAGCUAUGGGUGUUUAAUAUAGACUUAUUUAUAUUAAAUAUAUAAAAGUUUAAUAGGGGUUUCUUUAUAUUAAGCCAAAUUUAGGUAGUAGAAUAUACUGUAUUGGAUAAUGAAAAUAGAUCAGUAGAAAUAAUGCAAACAUGAGUAAAAAAUACCUGGGGGUUGUCUACAAAAGUCGUAAAAAUUAAUAGGCGGUAGGAUAGUUUAAUAUUAAGAAAUAUUAUUUGGUUUUCGCCCUGUAAUUUGUUGUAUUAAAUAAAUUAUAAACUUUAGUUUAUAGGUUUUCUAUUUUUAUUUUUGUAGUAUAAUUUAAGACUAUCGGGGGUAGUUGAAGAGGAAUGGGGGUUCCGACUGACAAUAGAGGGUAUUUAAAUGAAUGACUUUAUAUUAAGGAAUUCGGCAAAAUGUUUUUGUAAGAUUACGAGAAGAAAAGAGUUUAAUUAAAAAGACUAUAAAAUUAUCGCUUUGUUAGUUGCCUUAAUUAGACAAAAAUUAGGAGGUGUCGACUGUUUCGCAAAAACAUAGCUUCUAGUAAAGAAUAGGGGUGAGACCUGUCCAGUGACUAUUUCUAAAUAUCGUUUCGAUUAUAAGGGUAGUUAAACGGCCGCGGUAAUUAUGACCGUGUUAAAGUAGCGCAAUCAAUCGCCAAUUAAUUGUUGGCAAGUAUGAAGGUUUCACGAAUGCCUCACUGUCUCAAUAUAAAGUUUAUUGAAAUUGGAAUUUUAGUGAAGAUACUAAAUAGUAGUUGAAAGACGAGAAGACCCCGUGAGCUUUACUGGAGUGUUAAUUAUUAUUAAUACAGACAGUUUGGUUGGGGCGACCCCCCUAUAAAGAGUAACUAGGGGGCUUGUGGGGUAAGAAAUAGUUAAACCUAAGACAAUAAGGGGCCCUCCCAAAUUGGCAUGUAGUUUUUUGGUUUAUCAAAAUCUUUUAGAACUUGGUGGGAUAUAUUGAUCCGUAAUUUAUGGGUUACGAGAGCGGCAAAAAGUUACCGCGGGGAUAACAGGGUAAUUUUGUUUGAGAGUUCGUAUCGAAGAUGGAGUUUGCUACCUCGAUGUUGAAUUGUGAUAUCCUGAAGGCGCAGGAGUUUUCAAGGGUUGGACUGUUCGUCCAUUAAAAUCGCACAUGAUUUGAGUUCAGACCGGCGUGAGCCAGGUCGGUUUCUAUCUUCAAUUAUUUAAUGUCUUUUAUUUUUUUAGUACGAAAGGAGGAAAAAGAGCUUGUUCUAUGAUUUUUAAUUAAGACAAAGAAUUAAUUAUUAAAUACAUAUAUAAGAAAUUUAAAGAGUAUAUUAUUUUAGAUAAAAAUAAUUAAAAUACUAAUAA